rnacentral:rRNA from 1 species
UACAGAGGGUGCAAGCGUUAAUCGGAAUUACUGGGCGUAAAGCGCACGUAGGCGGAUAUUUAAGUCGAUUGUGAAAGCCCCGGGCUUAACCUGGGAACUGCAGUCGAUACUAGGUAGCUAGAAUCUUGGAGAGGUCAGUGGAAUUUCGAGUGUAGAGGUGAAAUUCGUAGAUAUUCGGAAGAACACCAGUGGCGAAGGCGACUGACUGGACAAGUAUUGACGCUGAGGUGCGAAAGCGUGGGGAGCAAACAGG